UACGAAGGGGGCUAGCGUUGUUCGGAAUCACUGGGCGUAAAGGGCGCGUAGGCGGCCGAUCAAGUCGGGGGUGAAAGCCUGUGGCUCAACCACAGAAUUGCCUUCGAUACUGUUUGGCUUGAGACCGGAAGAGGUUAGUGGAACUGCGAGUGUAGAGGUGAAAUUCGUAGAUAUUCGCAAGAACACCAGUGGCGAAGGCGGCUUACUGGUCCGGUUCUGAACGCUGAGGCGGCGAAAGCGUGGGGAGCAAACAGG
rnacentral:rRNA from 1 species